UAAGAGACUGUGUUCUAAUUAAAAUCCACGUACAUGUCUACCUAUAUUUUUCCUUAUUUAUUAUUAUUAUUAUUAUCAUCACAAAAGAUUCAACAAGCUAAGUGAAUAAACGGGUUGUGGGAGAGACAAUAAAUAAUGGCUUCCAUGAAUAUAUUCACUCCCAUUUCACUCCCCUCCAACAGCUACUUCCCCCGCCGGCGACAACCCAUCUCAGCCCCUUUUGCUGCCGUGAACUCGCCGGAAUCUCCUCCCGCAAAGCCUGAAAUAGAGCUUGAAUUCAUUGGGCCGAAGGCUUCAAGUGAUGGAUCGUACCCUGUGGAUAAAGCAAAAGAAAUAAGUGGAGAGAAGCUGUUGAGGAACAUAAUGUUGGAUAACAAUAUUGAGCUUUAUGCCACCUAUGGGAAGGUGAUGAAUUGUGGAGGAGGUGGUAGCUGUGGAACUUGCAUAGUAGAGAUACUUGAAGGAAAGGAUCUUUUAAAUGAGAGAACAAAUACUGAGCUUCGAUAUCUUAAGAAGGCAUGUAUUCUAUCCCUUAAUUAAGAAACCUGAAUCUUGGAGGCUAGCUUGUCAAACUAUUGUUGGAAACAAGGAAAACUCUGGGAAGGUUAUUGUUCAAAGGAUUCCUCAGUGGAAGAAGUAAUAGAGAAAGCAGCUCAUGAUGCAAGCUUUGAAAGAAGUCCACAUAUGUAACUGCUGGAUAUUAUUAUUUAACAUUGUUCAAACUUCAUAAUAUAAUUAUUGAAAAUCAAUGAGAUCUGCAAAUAUAUAUUA